UGUGUCUUCAAAGAAAUCGCAGGCCACCAAGCACUGUCCAGCCUGCGUGUUCUAAUGAGUCCCCACUGAGUUCUGAGCACGCCACGGGCAAGAUGAUUGGCUCCUUGCAGAAAGGCAUCCUGGAGCGCGGUGUGUGCAGAGUGAACACUCAAGGAGAUCGUGAUAGCGCGUACGUGCGCACACACAAGCCUUGAGAAGCAAAGAAUUCCGAGCGGAUGGAUAUUGGAGUCAGGUCAUGUGAAGAACCGCCACCGUCGCUGGUGCUGAGCUCCCUGGCAGCUUCCCAAGGUAUUCCAGUCAUGUUGGGAAGGGGAACGCUUCGCCAUUUACGGCAUGAUGAUCCCAUUGACUCGUACCGUGUUGCGUUUGUGACCAAACGAAGCCGGUCAGACAGUCCGUGUGUGUCGAAAUGAGCUCACAAAG